rnacentral:rRNA from 1 species
UAGGGAAUCUUCCGCAAUGGGCGAAAGCUUGACGGAGCAACGCCGCGUGAGUGAUGAAGGUCUUCGGAUCGUAAAACUCUGUUAUUAGGGAAGAACAAAUGUGUAAGUAACUAUGCGCGUCUUGACGGUACCUAAUCAGAAAGCCACGGCUAACUACGUGCCAGCAGCCGCGGUAAUACGUAGGUGGCAAGCGUUAUCCGGAAUUAUUGGGCGUAAAGCGCGCGUAGGCGGUUUUUUAAGUCUGAUGUGAAAGCCCACGGCUCAACCGUGGAGGGUCAUUGGAAACUGGAAAACUGGAGUGCAGAAGAGGAAAGUGGAAUUCCAUGUGUAGCGGUGAAAUGCGCAGAGAUAUGGAGGAACACCAGUGGCGAAGGCGACUUUCUGGUCUGUAACUGACGCUGAUGUGCGAAAGCGUGGGGAUCAAACAGG